CCAGGGACCUUUCUUAACCAGUUGACCCAGAGACCUUUUCAAAAUAUUAACACUUUAAUGCCCAGUUACAGUGAUUUGCUUGUAAUUUAACAUAAUCAGCCAUCAAAUUCCUAAAGAUCUACAUAUAAAACUAACUGGGCCAGAUUGAAUGACACACUUAAAUGAGUCACAUAGUCUCUGGCACAGAUUUAAUUGCUAUGAAAUUUAGAGUGUCAGAAAUACAAACAUAUAUCCGUGACACUAUAGGUGUAAAAAUCCAUUUUAGGUCCCCAGCCCCCUUUUCUCCCCUUAAAAAGUAAAAUAACU